rnacentral:rRNA from 1 species
GACGAACGCUGGCGGCGUGCUUAACACAUGCAAGUCGAACGGAAAGGCCCUGCUUUUGUGCGGUGCUCGAUUGGGGAACGCGGGAGUAACACGUGAGUAUCCUGCCCUUGACUUUGGGAUAACUUCAGGAAACUGGGGCUAAUACCGGAUAUGAUCUCCUGAUGCAUGUGGGGGGUUGGAAAGUUUCGGCGGUUGGGGCUGGACUCGAGGCUUAUCAGCUAGUUUGUGGGGUAGUUGCUGACCAAGGCUUUGACGGGUAGCCUGCCUGAGAGGGUGACCGGGCACAUUGCGCCUACGAUACGGACCAGACGGCUACGGUAGGCAGUGGUGGGGAAUAUUGCAGAGUGGGCGGACGCCUGAUGCAGCGAUGCCGCGUGCGGAAUGCCGGCCUUCGGGUUGUAAACAGCUUUCGAAUGUGACGAAGAGUGCGUGACGGUAAUUGGUAAAGAAGCCCCGGCUAACUACGUG